AGGACAUUUCAAUGAGGGCUCAUGGGCUGUGAAUUCAAGAGCUAUUAACACUAUGACCAAAAUUCUCUAUAGGAUCCAUAGCACUGAAUAGUGCUAUAUUUCCCUGAGGAAGUAUAAGA
ensembl:snoRNA